GCUCUGUGAUGAACCCCAUGCGUGUCAUCUGAGCCCAGCUUCCUUCCCUGUGGCCUUUCCCCAGGUGGUGUUCUACUUACCAGGGCUGUCGUCUGGCCUGGCAGGGAGGCCUUGGGCAAAGGAUCAGUCCUUACAUUCUGAGAGC
rnacentral:snoRNA from 1 species